rnacentral:sRNA from 1 species
GCCUAGCCCAGAUAGAAGUGAAAAUCCUCUUGUCCCGGUGUUCGGGACAAGAGAUUGCAACGUAUAGCUGGAAAUGGC